rnacentral:rRNA from 1 species
AGAGUUUGAUCCUGGCUCAGGAUGAACGCUGGCGGCGUGCUUAACACAUGCAAGUCGAACGGGGAUGCCAUUUUUGAAGCGAUUAGCUUGCUAAGAGUGGAAAUGUUGGCAUCUUAGUGGCGGACGGGUGAGUAACGCGUGGGGAACCUGCCCUGUACAGGGGGAUAACACUUAGAAAUAGGUGCUAAUACCGCAUAAGCGCACAGUAUCGCAUGAUACAGUGUGAAAAACUCCGGUGGUACAGGAUGGACCCGCGUCUGAUUAGCUGGUUGGCGGGGUAACGGCCCACCAAGGCGACGAUCAGUAGCCGGCCUGAGAGGGUGAACGGCCACAUUGGGACUGAGACACGGCCCAAACUCCUACGGGAGGCAGCAGUGGGGAAUAUUGGACAAUGGGGGGAACCCUGAUCCAGCGACGCCGCGUGAGUGAAGAAGUAUUUCGGUAUGUAAAGCUCUAUCAGCAGGGAAGAAAAUGACGGUACCUGACUAAGAAGCCCCGGCUAACUACGUGCCAGCAGCCGCGGUAAUACGUAGGGGGCAAGCGUCAUCCGGAUUUACUGGGUGUAAAGGGAGCGUAGACGGUGCAGCAAGUCUGAUGUGAAAGGUCGGGGCCCAACCCCGGGACUGCAUUGGAAACUGUCGCGCUCGAGUGUCGGAGAGGUAAGUGGAAUUCCUAGUGUAGCGGUGAAAUGCGUAGAUAUUAGGAGGAACACCAGUGGCGAAGGCGGCUUACUGGACGACAACUGACGCUGAGGCUCGAAAGCGUGGGGAGCAAACAGGAUUAGAUACCCUGGUAGUCCACGCCGUAAACGAUGAGCACUAACUGUUCGGCCAGAAUGAUGGCUGAGUGGUACAGCGAAAGCGUUAAGUGUUCCACCUGGGGAGUACGCCGGCAACGGUGAAACUCAAAGGAAUUGACGGGGGCCCGCACAAGCGGAGGAACAUGUGGUUUAAUUCGAUGAUACGCGAGGAACCUUACCCGGGCUCAAACGACACAGGAAUACUUUUGAAAGGAGGUAGCCCUACGGGGUCUGUGUCGAGGUGCUGCAUGGUUGUCGUCAGCUCGUGCCGUGAGGUGUCGGCUUAAGUGCCAUAACGAGCGCAACCCCUAUCGCCAGUUGCCAUCAAGUAAAGUUGGGGACUCUGGCGAGACUGCCGGCGCAAGCUGUGAGGAAGGCGGGGAUGACGUCAAAUCAGCACGGCCCUUACGUCCGGGGCGACACACGUGUUACAAUGGCAGGUACAGAGAGAAGCCAGGUGGCGACACCGAGCGGAACUCGAAAGCCUGUCUCAGUUCGGAUCGGAGUCUGCAACCCGACUCCGUGAAGCUGGAUUCGCUAGUAAUCGCGCAUCAGCCAUGGCGCGGUGAAUACGUUCCCGGGCCUUGCACUCACCGCCCGUCA